UUAGAGUUUGAUCCUGGCUCAGGAUGAACGCUAGCGGCAGGCCUAACACAUGCAAGUCGAGGGGUAACAGGUGUAGCAAUACAUGCUGACGACCGGCGGACGGGUGAGUAACGCGUAUGCAAUCUGCCUCUGACUGAGGGAUAGCCCAGAGAAAUCUGAAUUAAUACCUCAUAACAUCAUGAUUGGACAUCCUUUUAUGAUUAAAGCUCCGGCGGUCAGAGAUGAGCAUGCGUGCCAUUAGUUAGUUGGCGGGGUAACAGCCCACCAAGACUGCGAUGGCUAGGGGGUCUGAGAGGAUGAUCCCCCACACUGGUACUGAGACACGGAUCAGACUCCUACGGGAGGCAGCAGUGAGGAAUAUUGGGCAAUAGGCGCAAGCCUGACCCAGCCAUGCCGCGUGCAGGAUGAAGGCCCUAUGGGUUGUAAACUGCUUUUAUACGGGACGAAUCCCUCGGACGUGUCCGGGGCUGACGGUACCGUAAGAAUAAGCAUCGGCUAACUCCGUGCCAGCAGCCGCGGUAAUACGGAGGAUGCAAGCGUUAUCCGGAUCCAUUGGGUUUAAAGGGUGCGUAGGCGGAACGAUAAGUCAGCGGUGAAAUCCUGCAGCUUAACUGUAGAAUUGCCAUUGAUACUGCCGUUCUUGAAUGCGGUUGAGGCAGGCGGAAUGUGUAUUGUAGCGGUGAAAUGCGUAGAUAUUACACAGAACACCUAUUGCGUAGGCAGCCUGCUAAGCCGUGAUUGACGCUGAGGCACGAAAGCGUGGGGAGCAAAACAGGAUUAGAUACCCUGGUAGUCCACGCUGUAAACGAUGAUCACUCGCUGUUGGCGAUAUACCGUUCAGCGGCUAAGCGAAAGCAUUAAGUGAUCCACCUGGGGAGUACGACGGCAACGUUGAAACUCAAAGGAAUUGACGGGGGCCCGCACAAGCGGAGGAACAUGUGGUUUAAUUCGAUGAUACGCGAGGAACCUUACCUGGGCUUAAAAGGGAGACGACGUCUCGGGAAACCGGGAUUCCCUUCGGGGCGGCUCUCAAGGUGCUGCAUGGUUGUCGUCAGCUCGUGCCGUGAGGUGUCGGGUUAAGUCCCAUAACGAGCGCAACCCCUAUCGUUAGUUGCCAGCGGGUAAUGCCGGGGACUCUAGCGAAACUGCCAGCGUAAGCUGUGAGGAAGGUGGGGAUGACGUCAAAUCAGCACGGCCCUUACGUCCAGGGCAACACACGUGUUACAAUGGCCGGUACAAAGGGCAGCUACUGGGCGACCAGAUGCUAAUCUCUAAAACCGGUCUUAGUUCGGAUUGAAGUCUGAAACUCGACUUCAUGAAGUUGGAUUCGCUAGUAAUCGCGCAUCAGCUAUGGCGCGGUGAAUCCGUUCCCGGGCCUUGCACACACCGCCCGUCA
rnacentral:rRNA from 1 species